GAUGAACGCUGGCGGCGUGCCUAAUACAUGCAAGUCGAACGAGGUGCUUUGUAGCAAUACGAAGUAUCCUAGUGGCGAACGGGUGAGUAACGCGUUGGUGACCUACCCCAAAGUGUGGGAUAACAGUCCGAAAGGAUUGCUAAUACCGCAUGUGGUCUCUGGGUUUAGAAACCGGUGACUAAAGGAGCAAUUCGCUUUGGGAGGGACCUGCGUCCCAUCAGCUAGUUGGUGAGGUAAUGGCUCACCAAGGCGACGACGGGUAGGGGACCUGAGAGGGUGGCCCCCCAUAAUGGAACUGAAACACGGUCCAUACACCUACGGGUGGCAGCAGUAGGGAAUAUUGGUCAAUGGGCGAAAGCCUGAACCAGCAACGCCGCGUGUGCGAUGAAGGCCUUCGGGUCGUAAAGCACUUUUCUGGGAGAUGAGAAAGGACAGUAUCCCAGGAAUAAGUCUCGGCUAACUACGUGCCAGCCGCCGCAGUAAGAC
rnacentral:rRNA from 1 species